GGCCGUGUGGCGAAAUGGCAUCGCGUCUGACUACGAUUGAAUUCACCGCGACUCCCUGCUUACGUAAUCAGGAGAUUGUAGGUUCGACCCCUACCUCGGUCA